UUGGAGGGCAAGUCUGGUGCCAGCAGCCGCGGUAAUUCCAGCUCCAAUAGCGUAUAUUAAAGUUGUUGCAGUUAAAAAGCUCGUAGUUGAACCUUGGGCCUGGCUGGCCGGUCCGCCUCACCGCGUGUACUGGUCCGGCCGGGCCUUUCCUUCUGGGGAACCUCAUGCCCUUCACUGGGCGUGUUGGGGAACCAGGACUUUUACUUUGAAAAAAUUAGAGUGUUCAAAGCAGGCCUUUGCUCGAAUACAUUAGCAUGGAAUAAUAGAAUAGGACGUGUGGUUCUAUUUUGUUGGUUUCUAGGACCGCCGUAAUGAUUAAUAGGGAUAGUCGGGGGCAUCAGUAUUCAAUCGUCAGAGGUGAAAUUCUUGGAUUGAUUGAAGACUAACUACUGCGAAAGCAUUUGCCAAGGAUGUUUUCAUUAAUCAGUGAACGAAAGUUAGGGGAUCGAAGACGAUCAUAUACCGUCGUAGUCUUAACCAUAAACUAUGCCGACUAGGGAUCGGACGGUGUUAGUAUUUUGACCCGUUCGGCGCCUUACGGGAAAC
rnacentral:rRNA from 1 species